UUCAACGGCCGCGGUAUUUUGACCGUGCAAAGGUAGCGUAAUCACCUGUCUUUUAAAUGAAGACCUGUAUGAAUGGCAAAACGAGGGCUUAACUGUCUCCCUUUUAAGGUCAGUGAAAUUGAUCUGUCCGUGCAGAAGCGGACAUACAAAUACAAGACGAGAAGACCCUUUGGAGCUUAAGACUUCCAGCUAACUAUGUUAAUAAGCCAAUUUAAUCUGCUUAAACUAAAUAGUACUUAGCCCACGUCUUCGGUUGGGGCGACCGCGGAGGAAAACAAAGCCUCCAUGUGGAAUGGGGCCACCGCCCCAAAAUCUAGAGGGACACCUCUAAGUCACAGAACAUCUGACCAAAAAGAUCCGGCCACCAGGCCGACCAGCGAACCAAGUUACCCUAGGGAUAACAGCGCAAUCCCCUCCCAGAGUCCCUAUCGACAAGGGGGUUUACGACCUCGAUGUUGGAUCAGGACAUCCUAAUGGUGCAGCCGCUAUUAAGGGUUCGUUUGUUCAACGAUUAAAGUCCUAC
rnacentral:rRNA from 1 species